rnacentral:rRNA from 1 species
UACGGAGGGGGCUAGCGUUGUUCGGAAUUACUGGGCGUAAAGCGUGCGCAGGCGGUUGUGCAAGACCGAUGUGAAAUCCCCGGGCUUAACCUGGGAAUGGCAUUGGUGACUGCACGGCUAGAGUGUGUCAGAGGAUGGUGGAAUUCCCGGUGUAGCGGUGAAAUGCGUAGAGAUCGGGAGGAACAUCAGUGGCGAAGGCGGCCAUCUGGGACAACACUGACGCUGAGGCACGAAAGCGUGGGGAGCAAACAGG